rnacentral:lncRNA from 1 species
AUAGACAAGAGGUAAUAUCACUCACACUGAUUUAAUUAAAUUUUUACAAUUAGGCCUAAAUCUUGGGAUCUCCAGUCAGCUAGCGUGGCUGGGUAUAAAAGGAUCUUUUCUCCUAGAUUGUCUAGAACAUCCAUUUCUUGUUGUUUCUCUUUGGAGUUUUCUAUGUUCUCUUUUGGGUCUCUCGUCAUUUGCAGAUUGUUUGGCUUCUUCUUCCUUUAUGAAUAUUUAUGAUUUACUAAAUGGAGAUGUUAAUUGUAAUUUGUGUUUGCGUUAUUUCUCUAUAUAUAUGAUUGUUAAUUACAGAUCAUUUUAGUGGGAAGAAUACUCCAAUUUUUGGCCAAUCGAAGAAGAUGAUGAUUUUGACCCGUCUCAGGCCCACAAAAGGCUUAGGCGCAGGCCGAAGGUUGAUGAGGAAAAGAUGAAGCCCAAAAACAAUACUCGAUGCCAUAUUGAUGAUGAGAUUGAAGAUUUAUCUCAGAUAUAUCUGGAAAUGUGGAAAAUGAUAUGAUUUUGCAAUUCUCAAAUUUGUUGUUUUAUUUGGCAUUUUAGGUUGUUUAGUUCAACAAUUAGGAUCCUUUUAAAGGGGAAAUAAUUUUUUUAUUUCAUUUGUUUUGGAACUUUUAGAUUUGAAAUGGGCUAUGUCAAUAAAUGUUAGUUUUAGUUUACCUUUCCUCCGGGUUAUAUUGAGAUCUUAAUUGAAAUAAAUUUUUUAUUUCAUUUGGUUAGGAACUAUUAGAUUUGAAAUGGGCCAUGUGAAUAAUUAUUAGUUUUAGAGGAGUGUCAUUAAUUGAGCAACGAUGGAUUAUAAAGAUUUAUUUAAGGCAAAUCGUGGAUUAAAUAGUAAUCUCUAAAAUUUUGAGAACAAUAUGCCCCCCUUUGUUUUCCAUUUUUCCCUCAUUAAAAUGAAAAAUAUGAUCGUUAUUCAUCAUAUCAAGUCACCAAAUUUGAAUUUUUAUCUCUUGUGUGGGACUAUAACGGCUAUAUUUUUCAUUCUCAUUUUUACAAAAAUAGAAAACAAACAGAGCCUAUAACAAAAGCAAGUAUCAGGAUUUUACUAGUUUGUACUCAAUGUGAAAGUAAAAGGUUUUGACAAUGAAGAUCAAGUUUACAACUGUGAUCUCACACUGCUCAGCUUGCAUCAUGUAGAAAGCGCCCCCUAAAUAUCCUUCAUAUAUCGAGGAGAUUAUUACAAAGUAUGAUGGACUAAGCUACUUGUACACAUGAAAUAUACACCAUACUUUACAGAUGAAUAUGUGACAAUUUCCUAUUGAUUGCAUUAAUUGUGUGAGAUAUGAAAAUGGUAUGAAAUCUUGUCAAGUGUAAAUUCUGUACAUCAGAGCGUAUAAAUCAGGGUGUACACGUAGCAAGUCCAAUAAGGCAGAGACUAGGAAGUGAACAAGAAAUGUUAUAUAUGUUAUAUAAUAAGUAUAGAUUAACGAAAACCCGAAAUAGGAGAUGCUAAUUUCUAAUGGGGUUAAUCUUAUGUCAAAAAGGUUUUCAAAGUCCUAUACAAUUAAUGUAAUUGCAUAAUUAUGCAAACGGUAAGAUUUCUGCAGGGUUUUGAGGACGGGAAAAACAAUCAAGAGUCUUGGGAAUCAGGCUGAAUGUUCAAAAUUUGGGAAACUUGGAGCUUAGAUAGCUCAUUAAUGGCUGCUUGAACCCGAUAAUCGUCAGAAUCCCUAUGCCCUGGCCAUGUUGGUGAUUGUGAGCUUAAUUUGGAAUAUUCGCUUGCAGCAACUUUUGUCUGGGUUGUUUUAGAGACGACUUUCUCCAAAUCCAACUGCGACAAUGGCCUUGGCACCUAGAAAAUACAUACAAAUUUGACAAGAUAAUCGAUAGAAGUUAGAACAUUCAUACCUGAAUUAAAGCAUUCAUGUUCAUUACUUGACCAGCAACGUCUGUUUACUUAAACUCAUUUUCAACAACACAUUUUAUGCGACCCACAACUUUUAUCGAAUUUUCAACCACACAUUUCAUCGACUUUUUCUAAAAUCUACUAAAAAUCUAAUAGUUAGCUAAAUCAAAUAGGGACUUAAUGAUUUCAUGCUUUUGGAAAUUAUAUUUCAUAAGUUGUGAUAGAACAAAAUAUAAAUCAAGUUUGCAGCAGAAGCGACCAUUAACUGCCGAUACACAGGAGAACACACAGAAAACUAUGCCUCUGUUUGGUGUAGAUUAAAAAUUGAUAAAAAUUUCAAGUCAAAGUCAGCAAUUAAUUUUAACCAUAUAUUUCAUCAACUUUUAUCAUCAAAAUCUAAAUAAGGCUCCUGAGAUAGCCAUUGUAAAUGAACUGAUACAACAAAAGAUUCAAGCUAGCAUAGCAGUAAUUUUCAUAGAAUUUAUUUCAUAGCAACAAGUGGGAGAAUUAUGUUAUAGCUUUGUGACACCAUUUAAGUUGUUGCCACAUGAAAAGGAUUUCCGAGGGCAUGGGAAUUUACUAGGUUCUCCUUAUCAGAUUGAACCAGUAAAUAUGAUAUAAAAGUGGAGUCGAUUUAAAGCGGGCAAGGCAUUUUAAGAACUUGAAUCUUUUCAUUGGAAUAGAUGGGUUAUAAAUUGAUAAAAUAUUGUUAUAUUCUAAGAUUAUUACAUAAUCAAUCUUGCUAUCAUAGGUCGUCAUAGCCCGAGUUAUUGUACACUGAAAAUAAAAUCCCAGAAGACCUGAUUAAGCAAUCAAAGGAGAAAUUACUAACCGAAGAUGAUUUCCCAUUCUUCUCAUCAUCGAGCACGUCCCUGAUAGGAAAGUAAGCAGCCUUUUUGCAAAGCUCACGAAGAUCAGAGCCUGUGUAUCCAUCACAAAUACCAGCUAUAUGGUCGUAAUCAAUGUCAUCUUCAACGGUCUCAUCCUUCAGAAUCACCUUCAAUAUCUGUGACCUUUCCCUAGAAUCAGGAAUCCCAAUUUCAAACGCUUGAGGAAGACGGCGGAGAAUUGCUUCAUCAAGUUCUGAUGGACGAUUAGUGGAAGCAAGUACCAUCACCCGAGAAUUAUCUGCAUAAACAAAAUCCUAACAUAUCAGCAAAAAGUGACGUCUCCAAUAUGUAUCAUUUAUUAUAUUGAACAAUACGAUAACCACAUUAUGGAUGAGCCACAAAAACGCAUAUUAAAGAGCAAUGGAAACUAUCUUUAAUAAUAUUCCCAUGAAGGGAAAGGAAACUUACGGUCUGUGGUGAAACCAUCCCACAAAGCCAUGAAUUCUGUCUUCAUAUUAGUUAGUACUUCGUAGUCUGUAGUCUUGCGCUGGCCCAAAAAACUAUCCACCUCAUCAAUGAAAAUAAUUGCUGGCUGAAGUUUAUGCGCCAGGCUAAACACAGCAGCGACUGCAAAAGUAUUGUUAAUCAGAAGUAACAGUUAGUAAAUGAAUAACCAUGGAGAAUCAGUACCAAGAAAAGAAAGUAUUAUGCAGUAAUAAAACAUGGCUAUGAUAUCCAUCAGGACAAAAAAGAAAUUAGAAAUCAAAGUUAAGAAAGUGCAGCAAAUCAGUAAGACUAUGCAAACAAGAAUUUGAAAAACUAGCCAGAGUGUAAAUGAAGGUAAAAGAUCUGACACAAACUCCCACCUCACCCCAAACUCAUAAAUCAAUAUAAUUACGAGUACAAACACACACAGAUAGAUUACAUAUGGAAAGAAGGAACAAGAGAAACACCACAACACAUUCAUGAGAAACCAAUUAAAAUAUUCAUAGUAUGUAAAGAGGCUAGAAAAAACUUUAAAUCGAUCAACAUAAUCCAAAGAUGAAAGGGAAAGUAAGAACUUGGAGAAUAUGACAUAUACUCACCAAGUUUUUGUGCAUCCCCAAACCAUUUGCUCAUCAGAUUUGAUAUUCUCACAUUGAUGAACAGAGCUCCUGACUCUUUUGCAAUUGCUUUGGCGAGCAUGGUCUUCCCAGUCCCAGGGGGUCCAUACAGCAAGACACCUUUUUGUGGACCAAGAAGCUUCCCAUGAGAAAACAGCUCGGGUCUUUGUAAAGGAAGAAUGACUAAUUCAUACAAUGUUUGUUUAAUGGCUCCCAACCCUCCAAUACAGUCAAAUCUUACAUCGAUAUGGUCAGGAUUGAACUUUUUUACACUAGGUGACAAUUGUAUAACAUGGAAAUCACAGCUGCAGCCUUUAGUUACCUUGUCAAGUACUGAGGCAGAGUAUGUUGCCAUAACCGAAGCGGUUAAGGAACGUACUUGGUUAAAAGGAAUUUUAAAAGAAUUGAACUUCAUGCAUGAUACACUUGUUAUGUUUACCGAUAGUCAAAGUGCUUUAUUGCUUUGUAAGAAUCAUGUUUAUCAUGAAAGAACUAAACAUAUUGAGGUGAAAUAUCAUUUUAUACGUGAGAAAUUGUCUCAAGGUGAAGUUAAUCUUGUUAAAAUUCACACUGAUAGGAAUCCCUCUGAUAUGGGAACAAAAAUUCUACCUGCAAGUAAAUUUAGAUUGUGCUUAUCUUUAUUACAUAUUGACACUGGUUAAUUUUCUUGCAGGUGGUGGGCGAUGUGAUGAACAGUUCUUCCAUGUGCAAAUUCACAACCAAGAGAGAGUGUUAUGAGAACCAAGGUGAAGAAUGUGAGAAUAUGGUUCUCUUAACCCACUUUAUUUAAGUUUUUUGUGAACCAUUGGAUGAAGAUCAAUGAUUGAGAUUUAAUCUUGUGGGAGAAGCUUUGACCAAUUUUUCACCUAACAUAUUACUUACCCUACGUUUUGUGUAAGAGGGCAGUGUCUUCGGUUGGGUGGGGGUUAUUUUAAAAGAGGCAGGCUGGUCAUUUUCUCGUGUGUGGCUCGACAGAAACUCUCCUCCAUUUUUGUUGGUUCCUUAAGGUGGUCUCUUGGAUCCCCAACACAAUUCUUAUGGGUAUGGUAAGAAUUGGAAUUCUAGGCAAAUUUUUUUUUUUUUGUCUUCUUUAUUUUUUUUUUCAAUAGAAACAAAUUCUAAGAAUUAUUGUAAAAAAAAUAUUUUCCUUUAAUUGACAAUUUUCAUAUAAAACAAAGCCAAACGAACACCAAAAGAUGGAUGAUAGUAUUGAUUUUUUUAUCUUUAUUUUUUGGUUGUUGGCAAUGGAAACAAAUCUCAUCCGCUAAUACCAGUAAAAUCUAUCUUUUUUUAAUUGACGAUUUUCAUGUAAAACAAAGUCAAAUGAAUACCAAAAGACACUUUUAUUUCAACAUAUUCAACGUGAAAAAUUAUACCAAUCAAACACAAUAAUUUAUAAUUCUCAGAAAAAUAGUUUCUAGGCAAUUCAAUUGUUUGAAAUUCGUUUUCUUUCUACCCAAAUUCCAUCUUUACAAUCAAACGGACCCUAAGAAUUGAAAUAGGGUAACUUUCAUUAGUGAUUCUCGAGCUUUCAGAGAAAUCUCAAAUAGGUCAUUAAGCUAUAUUGUCAUUAUUGAGACAUUACUAAUUUUUAAACUCCUUUUUAUAUAUCCAUUUUUAAUUGCACAUUUAUCCAAUAAAAUAUUUGACACGUACAUUCAAAAUUUUUCUAUUUUUUAACCACAUAUUCUCUUAAAAAUUACGAUUCAAAACUCUAUUUUUCCCAAAUAAUGAUCAUCAAACAGGCGUUGAACUUCAAUUAUAUUUCAUAUUUUACCAUUCAAUUGCAUUCCAACGCCUAUUAGCUAUAGCAUAACUAAUCUUUUGUGUAAUCUCUACGUUGUGAAACGAAGGUCAUACUAAUGUCUUUGGAUUGAAAGACACGUUUUCAAAUUAUUAUAGUUUUAUAGCGUGAGUCACGUGGUCAUUGAAUUUAGGUCAAUAUUUUCGAUUGCUCACCGAACUUAGGCCCAUAUCUUAGAUUGCCCACUGAAGUUUAAAAUGUCGAGUUUUGGCCACUGAACUUUGGAAUAUACCGUACGUUACUCGCUAGUAUAACUGUUGAAUUUUGAAAAAUAUCGAAUUUACAGUGAGUAAUGUACAAUAUUUUUCAAAAUUCAGUGAGUAAUGUACUAUAUUUUUCAAAAUUCAAUGAGUAAUGUCCAAUAUUUUUCAAAAUUCAAUUGCUAAAAUUCGACAUUUUAAACUUCAGUGAGUAAUCGAAAAUAUUGACCUAAAUUUAGUGAUCAAAACUCGACAUUUUAAAUAUCAGUGAUCAAUCAAAGAUAUGGACCUAAAUUCAAUGACCAUUGAAACAAUUAAGUCAAUAUUCUAUGUUUUUGCCUCAAUUUUAGAGGUCAUUGUGGAAUGUUAAACAAAUAAAAAUAUUGCAUUCUUCAUAUUAAGGCCCGUCAAAGUAGAUAAUUUCAAACUAAUAUUUUGAUAAUUUUGUGAACAUGUUAACUUUAAAAAAUUUCGACGUUCAUAUGCUAAUCAAAUUUACAAAUUGCCUAUGUCAUCUUGAAUCAUGUUUUGAGAAUUAUAUCGUAGAUAUACCAAAUGGUCCAAAAAGAUAUCAAAAAUAGUUAAGUACGUCAAAUGUGCGUCUUAAAAAAUGAGUCUAACUCUUGAAAUUUUUUACUUAUUUUAUUAAUGUUUAUUAUCUUUAUGUGGCGAAUUUCUCAAUAUAAUUUACAUCAUUUGAUUAUAAAAUUUUACCAAGGUAAUGACUUAAAAAAAUUUCAGGUCGUUAUAGAAUUAGACCGAGUUUUGCUCAUUUCAAGUUGCAAUUGUUACAAAAUUUUCGACAGAAAAGGAGAAGACACUUGACUAAAAUCUGAUCGACUUUCUUCGCUUGAAUUUGGAUUCGGAUUCGGAUUCGGAUUCGAAUUUUGAUUUUCUCUUUCAGCUGCAUCAAAAUCCAUGGAAGCUUUUCUACUACUUUCAUGUGCAAUUUACGCAUGUAGAGUAAUAAAAUAUAAAAAUUUCAGAAUUACUAUCAUUUUAACUAUUCCAAAUUGGGCAGUGCUCUUCACACAGCAUCGUGUACAGCCCUCUCACAAUUCGAAAGACCCACGCGCAAUAAAAAAAUGUGCGAGCCCCCCCCCCCCCCCUUGGGGGGGGGCCCCCCCCCCCACUUGUGAGGAGGCUGUAGCCCGAGCCGUACAGCUCGGGCUGUACAAACAACAUUUCCGUUCCAAAUUUACGGAAUAUUCUGUAAAAGUAGACCAAAAUUACGGACAUUGUCUAUUUAAAGCAACUGGCUUCAAAUAACAUCCUGUUUGGGAGCGAUUUUUCAACCCAAAAAAUUGAUUUUUUUUAACCGUUAUUUCAAUAUUCCAAUCGUACUUUUUGACUUCUUCACUCAUAGAUAACCUUCACUUUUCUACAAUCAAAUUCAUUACAACCCCAAAAAUCACCUGCAUUUGAACUCCAAUGAAUUCAAAACAACUGCAACCGACAAACAGAAAUUCAAAUUUGAUGAUACGCUUCAAAAUUCAAAAUUUAAUGUUGUAUGCUUCAAGAUAACAAUAUAAAUAGAUUUGGUUGGAAAAUCAUUUUUCCUAAAUCUUAAGUUAAUGAAAUUAUCCAUUUUUCUGUAUUAUUUUGUUUUGAAAUUGUGUUUAAAUUAUAUUCCAUAUUCUUGAUUUUGAAAAUUUUAUCACUUAGUCUUAAGGAUAGUAAAUUAUUGAAAAAUCAAAUUACAAUAAAAUAGCAUUUUGGAGGCACAUUGUUGACAAUAUACCCUUUUUUCUUUUUCUUUUUUUAAAACUGUAUUUGAGAUAUAUGAGCAUUCAAACUUUUGGGUCCAUUUAACUUUUCAAUUUGAAAUCGAUUAUGAAGUUUUUCUUCAGUGCGUAAUUAUGUAUGAUUUUUGCCGUCAUCCAUCUCUGUCGUUGUGUUUUUAAAGCCUGUUUGUCACCCAUUAAAAUUUUACAUUAUUUGCUACAGUAUUAUUCUUCACCACAAAUUCACACAAUAAAUUAUUUUACACGAAUAAAAUUUUCCUACUUUUUAACCACACAUUUUUAAAAAAAUACUACUCAAAAUCCUUUAAUUUUUCAAAUAAUGGGUGACAAACGGGGGUUUAAUAUUUUUAUAAAAUACAUACCAUGUUGUAUUGCACCAUAUUUUUAUUAAUAUGUGCAAGAGAGGUGAAAUUGUACAUUUCUUGGUUAUUGACUCUUAUGAGAUUCUUAGCUACAUUUUACUCCAUAUGUGUCAAUGUCAUAUUACGAGCUUGUUUGCGAGUGAUUUUUCAUUCCAAAAAAUUGAUUUUUUGAUUCUUAUUUCGAUCACAAAAUCAAUUCUCAAAAUCACUCUCAAACGGGACCUACAUAAACUUUAUUAUUAAGCUGCUCUAGCUUUAAUAGCUUGUUAUGAGAAAUGCUACAUGUUAUGAAUGAUACUUGUUCUCAUAAGAUAUCAAUUGAGGUUGGGGAGACUGAGAUUUCUCGUCCCAAAUGGAUGUAUUUCAACAUAGUGAAUAUCAUAGCACUUCACCACGGCAUGAAAAAAUCCCAUCCAUGAAAUUUGAAAUCCCUGAAAAGCUCAAAGCUGUUGAUUUUGUGUUCAAGUAACGGUCCAGAUCCUCCAUCACGAUCGGCGAUUUGUUUGAAGUUUGUAGCAUAAGGAAUUUCAGAUCUGAAUAAUGGGCGAUUUUGUUUAAUAUGAAUUCGUAUAUAUCGUAGGGAAGAAAUUUGAUUGUGACGACGAUAAAUGUUGAUUAACCGGUGCCGGAAGGUCAAUAUAGUAAAUAUCUUCUCUUCCAAACACGGCCUAAUCGGUGAUAACAGCGAUUGGAUUUUAGAAAAUUUUCCAGAUCUGCUUUAAUUUUGUUCUUAAGUUCUGUAUCCAUUACAACUGUUUCCAUAGUUGCCUUAUGAGUAAACGAAAUCGAUCUCCGCCACUUGUCUCUCUGAAAUUCGAUAGCUACGUUAAUGAAUAGUCUCACCUCGUUUCUUUUCUGCUCAAUUUCAUCGAACAAUAUGUGAAUAUGUUGCAACUAAGGAACUAGAAUUCUUCACUUGUCUUUCUUUCUGAUCUUCAGAAUCAGCGAUUGUGAGCUAGUUGUUUUCAUUCAUCCAGUACAGCCUGGAACCAAGAAAAUUGUCCAAAACAACUUGAUUCGAGUCAAGAACGAGAUUGGUUUUAGUUGAUUUGUUACUUGAAAAAAGAUUGGUGAAAUCGGAAUCUUCCAUGCCCAGUAAAGAAUUCAAGUAAAUCUAUACUUUUCUGUACAGUUGAAUUUGCUUGUUGAAUUUUGGCACCUUGUAAAACUGACACACAUAGCACUUCUCCUCCAAGAAUCUCCACCAUUUCUUCAUAACAUGGAUUAAAGGCCUUUUUGACAAAAAUCUGAAAACUAUAUAGCCAAUAAUGAUUGAGAACGCUAUGAUGGUUAGAUUUGCAAGAAAAUGUCAUGAGGGCAAUCAAAGACCAGACAAAACUUGGGGAAGGAAAUAGAAGAGAAGCAACAGGAAAGGAAGACACCAACAGGAGGGAGACCCAACGGUCAAUUGAUGAGAAACGUUGUCGUUUUAUUUUGAUUUCAUUUGUGUUGUAAUAGGCAAAACACGCUUCUUUCAAUUCAAGUUUUCUUUUCCAAUUCAGUUAUAACUAUCAGAAGAGAGGGAGAGCAGGGCACGUGAAAAUGAUCAUUCCAAUUUGAUUUUCUCUAUUUGUUUCUCUCUUCUUUUCUUUUUCUUCUUCUUCUCUUUCAUUUUUGGUUAUUGUAAUUCUGUAGAAAUUGAAUUAAAUACAGCUGGACAACUUCAUUUGAUUGCAGUUUCAUUAUUUUGCUAUUGGUAGUUGGAGUUGGAAGGAAAUUGAAUCCCAACUAUAACAUUUGGUAUCAGAGCAGGACGUGAAUUGGGAAUGGAUACUCGAAGCAAGACCCAUGAAGAACAGAUUAAGAGGAUAGAUAAGGAGUAGGCAGAUUUAGGUACGGUUUACCAAAGUACUAAGCAAUCUGUGAAACUUAUGUGCAGCAAACAGGACAAAUUGGAAGUGCUGAUGCUGGAAAUGAAUGACAAAAAUGAAUCCUUAGUGGCUAUGAUGGCUAAGAUGAAUGGGAAUAAUGGCAAAGGGAUACAAAUAGAAAGCCACAUGACCCAGUUUCAACUGGUGGUAGCAUAAAAACGUCUGGAACAGGGAACUCUUCAGCUCAAGGAAGUGGUAAGGGUGAUUACAGGUUGAAUGCUAAAAUUCCUAAGAUUGACUUCCCUUACUUCAAUGGGGAAGACCCUAGGGAGCGGUUGAGGAAGGCACGAAAGUAUUUUCAGAUACAUCAAGUGCCGGAUGACUUGAAAGUGGGCAUAGCUAAGAUGUAUUUAAAGGGUAAAGCGGAUAUAUGGUUCCACGGAUUCAUAACCAGCCGUCCCAAUACAGAUGAGGUGAUUGAAGUCUUUAGUAAACUGAGGCAGAAAGAAACAAUUGCUGAAUACCAAGAGCAGUUUGAAGAAUUAAAGUCACGAGUGAUGCUAGCCCUACCCUACUCACCUGAGUCCUGUUAUAUAUCUAUUUUUACCAGUGGGUUAAGGGAGGAGAUCAAAUCCAUGGUAAAAAUCAUUAAACCCAGUACCCUUGCCAAGGCCUUUGAAGUAGCACUGUUGCAGGAGAAUACCAUUAUAGCUUUGAAUAAGGAACCAAACCAUACGAACCCUACCCACAAGCCAAAUUCAACUAUAUCACUAACAGAACCAGUGAAGCCACUCAUAAGACCACACCUCAAUCAGGCCCCAACCCAAAGAAUUCCAUCAAUCCAUUGAAAUUCAAAGCUAUCACCCCCUUUGACUUCCAAACGAAAAAGGAGUUGGGACCAUGCUACAAGUGAGAUGAGAAGUACACAAGGGGUCGUGUGUGCAAGAAUAGGAUGCUGAACUUCAUAUUAGUUGAUGAUGAAGGAGGGAAGAAUCGGAUGACUCCAAGGGGGAUGAAGAAGAAGAGGAGAAAGAGAAGAGGCCACAGGAAGAAAUGGUGAAGAUUUCUAUACAAGCAUUAGUGGGCAGCAACAUGUCCAAAACAAUAAGGUUUCCUAGGAGUAUCAAAAGAAGAAGGGUAUCCAUCUUGAUUGAUAGUGAGAGUACUCAUAGUUUUAUUGAUGAACAAUUAGCCCAAAGCCUUAAUUUCAGGAUGGAGCGGAUUAAACCAACAACUUUCACAGUAGCAGGAGGGGAAAAAUUGAUCAGUGAGGCCAUCUGCAACCCACUGACAUGGGUGAUACAAGGUCUGAAUUCCAGUAUAAACUGAGGGUGUUGAAGCUGGGGGAAAGUGAUAUGGUAUUAGGAGUAGACUGGUUAAGUCAGUUCAAUCUAGUGCUCUUUGAUUUCAAAAAGGGGGGCAUUAUAUUCACCUAUAAUGGAGAGAAGAUGGAAUUGGAAUGUGAAACUAUUAAGGGGGAAAUCAAAAUGAUAAGUGAUAAAGAAGACAAGUACUGGUUCAGGAACCAUAACUAUGGAAUGGUAGCUCAAAUCACUGUUUCCAUUGAUAAAGAACAGGAAACAAUUUCCCUGGAACUGCAGACAGUUGUGGACCAAUUCUCCAUGGUUUUUUCAGAACCAAAAGGGCUACCUCCAACCAGAUUUAAUGAUCAUCGCAUACCUCUUAAGGAGGGGGUACAACCAUUUAGACUCAAACCUUACGGGUGCUCUUAUGUACAGAAGUCUGAAAUUGAAAAUAUGGUUAAAGAGAUGAAGGAGAGUGGGAUAAUUCAACCGAGUAAUAGCCCUUAUGCUUCACCAUUACUUUUGGUUAAGAAAAAGGAUGGGACGUAGAGGUUUUGUGUGGAUUACAGACAAUUAAACAGCCUCACUAUCAAGGAUAAAUAUCCUAUGCCUCUAAUUGAUGAUUUAUUGGAUGAAUUAAAGGGGGCCAAGUGGUUCACCAAGAUUGAUUUAAGAUUCGGGUACCAUCAAAUUAGAGUAGCAGCUGAAGACGUGCAUAAAAUUGCUUUUAAGACACAUGAAAGAUUAUAUGAAUUUAGGGUAAUGCUCCUUGGGUUCACAAAUGUCCCAGCCACGUUUCAAUGUUUAAUGAACGUGGUGUUCAAGGAGCAACUCAGAAAAUUUGUGUGGGUAUUUUUCGAUGACAUCCUAGUCUACAGCACUGAUUUAAACAAUCAUUGUUAUCAUGUUACUGUGGUUCUCAACCUUCUGAAGGAACAUCAGUUGUAUGCUAAGGGGAGCAAAUGUUCAUUUGGGCAAACCAAGGUGGAAUACCUGGGACAUAUAAUAUCUGCGGAGGGUGUGGCAGCUGAUCCCUCUAAGAUUUCAGCAAUGAUAGAGUGGCCUAAACCGACCAACAUCAAACAUUUGAGGGGAUUUUUAGGCCUAACUGGGUAUUACAGGAAAUUUGUGAAGAGAUAUGAAGCCAUAGCAAAACCAUUAACUGACUUGUUGAAGAAGGAUAAUUUCAUCUGGAAUGAGGCUGCUGAAUUGGCCUUUCAAGAGUUAAAGGGAGCUAUGAGUGCCACACCGGUCUUGGCCUUGCCAGACUUUUCCAUUCCCUUUGUCAUCGAAACUGAUGAUUGCUAUAGAGGUAUGGGGCUGUGUUAAUGCAAAGUAAGAGGCCCAUUGCUUAUUUGAGUAAAGGCAUUAACAAUAGAAACCUAGGCUUGUCCAUUUAUGAAAAAGAAGCCGCUGGCCUUGGUGACGGUGGUGGGAAAGUGGAGGCACUACUUAGAGGGACACCAUUUUAUUAUAAAGACAGAUCAUCAAUCCCUCAAACACUUGUUAGAACAGAGAAUCACUACCCCUCUAUAGCAAAAAUGGUUGACAAAGCUUUUGGGGCUUAGCUAUGAAAUACAAUACAAGAAAGGGGUGGACAAUAAAGUGGCAGAUGCACUCUCCAGAAGAGAAGGACAAGAUAUUGAAUGUUGGGCAAUUAUUACUAUAACUCUAGUAUGGAUUCAAGAGGUCAUAAGCAGCUACCAAGGGGAUGAAGAGGCACGAAGCAAGAUCACCGCACUACUACUCAAUGUGCAGGCAAAACCAGGCUAUACUUAAACAGAUGGACUCCUUAAAUAUAAUUCUCGACUGUAUAUUGGAUCUAGUGGUGGGAUAAGGAAGAAGUUGAUCAGUGUCAUUCACUCUUCCUAAGAAGGAGGGCAUUCAGGGAUUCAAGCCAGCCUACAUAGAGCAAAACAUCAUUUUUUCUAGCCUGGAAUGACUAAAGAGAUCGAGCAAGAAAUUCUGGAAUGUGACACUUGCCAAAGGUGUAAGGGUGAACAUGUGGCUUACCCUGGUCUAUUACAGCCCUACCCGAACCUCAAUAUGCUUGGAGCCACAUACCAAUGGAUUUUGUGGAAGGGUUACCUACAUCUGGGGGAAGGAAUGUAAUAUUAGUUGUGGUGGACCAAUUCACAAAAUACGGCCAUUUUCUUGUGCUAGCCCAUCCCUUCUCAGCAGUCCAGGUAGCGAAAUUGUUCUUAGAUAAUAGCUACAAAUUACAUGGGAUGCCACAAAGUAUUGUGAUAGACAGGGACAAAAUCUUUACAAGUGAAUUUUGGCAAGAGCUAUUCAAGCAUAUGGGAGCAACAUUCCAGUUAAGUUCAUCCUACUACCCACAGACAGAUGGGCAAAUGGAGAGGCUUAACCAAUGUCUUGAAAUUUACCUCAGAUGUAUGGUAUACAAACAAUCUAAGCAAUGGAGCAGGUGGAUCAGCUUGGCUGAGUGGUGGUACAACACCACUCUACACACUGCUAUUAAGAUGACACCAUUUGAAGCUUUUUACGGCAUCAAACCACCACAGUUGGCUUUGGGACCAUACCAACAACUUAAUGUGGUUGUAUGGAAGAGUUAUUGCAAGAAAGACAUCAAAUGGAUCGAAUAUUAAGGGAGAAUCUAGCACAAGCUAGGGCAAGAAUGAAGUUAUAUGCAGAUAAACAUAGGAAGGAAAGAGAGUUUCAAGUGGGAGACUGGGUUUACCUCAAGUUACACCUGUAUGCUCAAUAGACAGUAGCUAAAAGAUUAAACAAGAAGUUGGCUGCAAAAUACUAUGGGCCUUAUCAAGUGGUACAAAAGGUUGGAAAGGUUGCUUACAAACUCGAACUACCUGCAGAUGCAAAAAUUCAUCCUGUCUUUCAUGUAUCCUUACUAAAGAAAAAAUUGGGGGAGAAAGAAGUUCCAGUUUAUGCAUUACCAGCACUAUACAAAGGAGUGGAGGAUCAAAAACAACCGCUACGAGUUUUGUCCACGAAUGAUUAAAGAGAAUAACCGAGCUAUCACUCAGUGGCUGGUACAAUGGGAAGGAACCAACGUGGAAGACGCAACUUGGGAAACAUCAGAGUUCAUUCGGUCGAUUUUUCCAUUGUUUGAACCUUGGGGACGAGGUUGUUCCACGGGGGAGGGAUGUCAUGAGGGCAAUCAAAGACCAGACAAAAUUUGGGAAAGGAAAUAGAAGAGAAGCAACAGGAAAGGAAGACACCAACAGGAGGAAGACCCAACGGUUAAUUGAUGAGAAACGUUGGCGUUUUAUUUUGAUUUCAUUUGUGUUGUAAUAAGCAAAACACACUUCUUUCAAUUCACGUUUUCUUUUCCAAUUCAAUUAUAACUAUCAGAAGAGAGAGAGAGUAAGGCACGUGAAAAUGAUCAUUCCAAUUUGAUUUUCUCCAUCUAUCUCUCUUCUUUUCUUCUUCUCCUCUUCCAUUUUUGGUUAUUGUAAUUCAGUAGAAAUUGAAUUAAAUAACUUCAUUUGAUUGCAGUUUCAUUAAUGUGCUACUGGUAGUUGGAGUUGGAAGGAAAUUGAAUCCCAACUAUAACAGAAACGUUAUAACUAUAUCGAGCUAGUUAACGAAAAAGGGAUUGAAAUUAUUGUCGAAUUAGAAUUGAUUCAACUUUUUCAAUGAUAAUGGUCUGGAAUUAUCGACUGAUGAUUUCAGAAGAGCGGUGGAAUCAGAGAGGAAAUCAUUGAAACUGGAAAAAUUAUGGAAAGAAUUUUUUAUUCUUGGAAUUUUAGAUAGAUGUUGAUAAUUUUGGGCUACCUUGCUAAGUCUUGGCUUGUUGGGCCGUAUUUUGUUUGGGUCACAUUUACUUACACAGGGUUGCUGAUUUUAUGAUAAAACAUGUUUUGUAUAAAUAUGAUUUUUGCCUCUUAAGGAAUGUGAAUCUGUAAUCCACGUGGCUUCUUGCAAACCCUUUGAUCGUGACUAUUGGUGAGGACAAAUAUAUACUUGACAUUGGCACUAUUCACAUUCCAAAUUCUUCUUUUCAAUCUCUUCGUCUCUCUCCCUUUUCUGAGUGAAAAAUAGGGUUUUCCCUUUUUAAAAUUGUAAUCGAUCUUUGUGGUUGAAAUGUUUGUUCUUAGUGGAGCUUUCUGAUUGUUUAGUACGGUCAAUAGAGAUUGAAAGUUAUGAGGGUUUUCUAGUUGAAAAGAGGCGAGAAAAACUCAAAGAAAUUUGUAAUUUCUUUGUACAUUUUUGUAUUGACUCUUGGGUAUAUUAGUGGAUCUUGAGCUGAAUCUCUUGUUAGACACUCAAUGAAUGACUAAGUCACACAACUGAACAUCCGGGCCUUUCCCAGGGCAAAAAAAUAUCUGAUGUUCUUUAUUUCUUUAUCUUUCUGGAACUUCGGCAAUUUUACAUGAAUCAAUCCUUAGAUCUGAAGGUUUUAAAAUAACAGUAGAGAAAUAGAAUAGAGAGAGAAUGCUUGUGUAUAAAGAAUGGUGGGAGAAUGUUACAAGGAGAGCGUAUUCAAAAUGUUUUGCAGACUAUAGACGGCAAUGGUGAUUUUUGCUUGGUCAAAUAUUGGUAUUGGAGAAAAAUACCAUUGUAGCUAUUUUUGU